CUUGGAAUAUUCAUCUUCGUUUGUCUUCACUCUUCUUCACAUUAUUUGACUCCCUCUAGGCUUUAGGCUCCUACCAACUACAUGUCUGCAUAUGGUGGGGCAUCGAAGUUGAGUUCUAACUUCACGAUUUAACACUUUCCAAGAGACGAGUUUGAGUCUCUGAAUUCUGGCUCUGAGAUUGAAGAACCAAAAACAAGAAGAAGAAGAAGAAAAACAGAGCCAUGGGGAAGGUUGCAGCACUACCAAUAGUUGGGAUGGUGUUGGCUGAGAGUGCACAAGCUGGGCUAAUUAUAGUGAGCAAAGUAGCCAUGUCUAAUGGCAUGAGCAACCUCAUCUUUCUCUGCUACUCAAACGCUCUUGCAGCCCUUAUCCUCCUCCCAAUUUCCUUAGCCUUCCACAGAUCCGAACGUCCUCCUCUCACUUUCUCUACCCUCUGUUGGUUCUUCUUGCUUGGUCUAAUUGGAUUCAUGGCGCAGUUUUUUGGGUAUGCUGGGAUUAAUUUGAGCUCUCCUACUCUAAGCACGGCUAUGCUCAACCUCAUUCCAGCUUUUACCUUUAUACUGGCAGUCAUCUUUAGAAUGGAAAGAAUUGAUGGGAGAAGCUCCAGUAGCCUUGCUAAAACCUUGGGAACAAUAGUUUCAAUUUCAGGGGCUUUCAUUGUUACUCUUUACAAGGGCCCCCCACUUCUGAUGACAUCCUCAACUGAUAUAUUGUCUCAUAACCAACUUUUCUCGGAACAGUCAAACUGGGUCCUUGGAGGAGUGUGCAUUGCGCUUAAUUGUGUGUUGGCCUCAUCUUGGCUUAUAGUACAGGCAUCAGUUCUAAAGAAAUACCCCGCAGAGCUGAUUAUGGUAUUUUAUUAUUGCUUCUUUGUGGCUAUUCAAUCUGUAGUAGUCUCUUUGACUGUAGAAAGAGACCUAAGUGCAUGGGAAUUGAAGCCUAAAAUCAGGUUGAUCGCUGUUCUAUACUCGGGAGUCUUUGGCUCAGCAUUCCAGGUUGGUGUAUCUACUUGGUGCCUUCAUAGGACAGGGCCUGUUUUUGUAGCUAUGUUCAAGCCUUUGGGGAUUGUCAUUACAGUUUUCGUUGGUGUCACCUUCUUAGGAGAUACUUUCUACCUUGGAAGUUUGAUAGGAGCAAUUGUUAUUGUCAUUGGAUUUUAUUCUGUGAUGUGGGGAAAAUCAAAAGAAGAGAAGAUGGAUGAUGAUACAGGAGCAAGGAGUGUGGCAUCAAGUAGACAACGGGUCCCUCUAUUGCAGAGCCAUAUUGAAGAAAUAUAGAAGUUUCUAUGCAGUACAUCGCCCUGUGUGGUCUCUCUUGCCAAAAAACACGGGCCAUGCUUGUUGGGAAUUAGUCACCCUAAGUAAUGCAGGACAAGGAACAACCAUUUGAUAUUGUCCAAGUCAAGGCAAUCAUUUGGCACAAAGAUUUCUUCUACUCUUUUUUCUUUUUCCUGGUAAUCCUGCAUACAUCCAAAGGCAGUUUGUUGGUGCAAACUGAGCAUGGUUGCAAGUUUGUGCAAAUACCAUGAGAAGGUCAUGAACAUGUGGAGCAUGAUCAAAGAUAUCAGCUGCAUGAGUUGAAUAUUGAGUUUGCAGGGUCAAAGCUGCCUCAAGAGCAACAUGUCAGUGAGGAGCAGCUCCUUUGCUUGGAAGUGAAAUAUACUCUUUCUCUUUGGUUUUUAGAUGUAUGAUAUCCUUCAUUACUUGUGGUAAAUAAGGUAAUAAUGUUGGAAUUAGGCAUUGGGGGAGAAAAUGAUGGCAAAGGCCAAAGUUCUUGAAGAACAUAUUUUCAACUGUGUAAUCAAAUACAAUAUAAGAAUAUUAUAAUCAAUAUCAAGAGCUUUUCAUACAUCCAA